CACAACUAGAUUAGAGUUCGUCUUUAGAGUCUAAAAACUAGGUGAUCCCCAUAGGGGAACAGGUGGCUUUUUUUUAUUAGUGUUAGUGAUCUAUCUAAAGCCAGAACAUUAUUAUUUAUGUCCCUAUUAAGGCCUUGAUUAAAUGUGUUUGAAUCAGAAAUUAUUACUAUAUGUUACAAAAUAAAUGUUUUCAAACAAUUUAUCUACAGAAUUCAUCAAGAAAGAAACAACAAACGCCCUUACUCCUUUGUCACAUGGAGCUUCUGUUUACUUACCAUGGAGAACUUCCUCCUGAGACGAAAUGGGUUGUCUCUGAUCCUACGCAGCUCAUCAACUCGAGAGUGUGACUGAGUUGUUGCUUCAUAAAUUUGAGUUGAAUUUAUGUAACACCCAGGGACCAUUAACCGAGGAUAUACAACGCGCGCCAUGAUAGCUUUUACCAACAAGCAGGAGCACUACAAGAUUUAGUUUGCUAGAGAAUGGACUAAUGUUUGCAAAUGUAAUAAUACUGAACAGUGAUCACCACACCAUGGGGUUCUAGAACCUCCAGAUACCUCUAUGGUGUGUGAUGUCAUAGUACGUUGAGAGGUUCUAAAUCUACAAAUGUAUAACCAACCAUGAAAUAUUUCAUUGCAUGCUAGUAAAUAUCAUGUUUUAAGUGCAAGCUGUAAAUCAAC